CUAAGGUAGCAUAAUCAUUUGUUAUUUAAUUGUUAACUGGAAUGAAAGGCUAAACUAGCUUAUUAAGUUUGUGUGACUAGAUAGAAAUUUAAAGUUAAGGUAAGAAUUCUUUAAUUUUCUAGGGGACGAUAAGACCCUAGAAGCUUUAUAAGAGGAGUUUUUAGUUUUGCAAGCUAGUUUGUUUUACUGGGGCGGUAAAAAUAAUUAAACUAUUUAUUGUUUAAAGGAUCCUUGAAAUAAAGAGAAAAUGGGGAAGUUACUCUAGGGAUAA
rnacentral:rRNA from 1 species